rnacentral:rRNA from 1 species
CUACACAUGCAAGUCGAACGAGAAAGGGGAGCAAUCCCUGAGUAAAGUGGCGCACGGGUGAGUAACACGUGACUAACCUACCCUGGAGUGGGGGAUAACUGAGGGAAACCUUAGCUAAUACCGCAUAACACCUACGGGUCAAAGGAGCAAUUCGCUUCAGGAGGGGGUCGCGGCCGAUUAGUUAGUUGGCGGGGUAAUGGCCCACCAAGACAGUGAUCGGUAUCCGGCCUGAGAGGGCGCACGGACACACUGGAACUGAAACACGGUCCAGACUCCUACGGGAGGCAGCAGUGGGGAAUUUUGCGCAAUGGGGGAAACCCUGACGCAGCAACGCCGCGUGGAGGAUGAAGUACUUCGGUACGUAAACUCCUUUCGAUCGGGACGAUAAUGACGGUACCGGAAGAAGAAGCCCCGGCUAACUUCGUGCCAGCAGCCGCGGUAAUACGAGGGGGGCGAGCGUUGUUCGGAAUUAUUGGGCGUAAAGGGUGCGUAGGCGGUUUGGUAAGUCUCUUGUGAAAUCUAUGGGCUCAACUCAUAGACUGCAAGGGAAACUGCCGGGCUUGAGUGUGGGAGAGGUGAGUGGAAUUUCCGGUGUAGCGGUGAAAUGC